rnacentral:rRNA from 1 species
GGCGAUUUCCGAAUGGGGAAACCCAGUGUGAUUCGUCACACUAUCAUUAACUGAAUCCAUAGGUUAAUGAGGCGAACCGGGGGAACUGAAACAUCUAAGUACCCCGAGGAAAAGAAAUCAACCGAGAUUCCCCCAGUAGCGGCGAGCGAACGGGGAGCAGCCCAGAGCCUGAAUCAGUGUGUGUGUUAGUGGAAGCGUCUGGAAAGGCGYGCGAUACAGGGUGACAGCCCCGUACACAAAAAUGCACAURCUGUGAGCUCGAUGAGUAGGGCGGGACACGUGGUAUCCUGUCUGAAUAUGGGGGGACCAUCCUCCAAGGCUAAAUACUCCUGACUGACCGAUAGUGAACCAGUACCGUGAGGGAAAGGCGAAAAGAACCCCGGCGAGGGGAGUGAAAAAGAACCUGAAACCGUGUACGUACAAGCAGUGGGAGCACAGAGCAAUCUGUGUGACUGCGUACCUUUUGUAUAAUGGGUCAGCGACUUAUAUUCUGUAGCAAGGUUAACCGAAUAGGGGAGCCGAAGGGAAACCGAGUCUUAACUGGGCGUUAAGUUGCAGGGUAUAGACCCGAAACCCGGUGAUCUAGCCAUGGGC